GGAUGAGCCCGCGGCCUAUCAGCUUGUUGGUGGGGUAAUGGCCUACCAAGGCUUCGACGGGUAGCCGGCCUGAGAGGGUGACCGGCCACACUGGGACUGAGACACGGCCCAGACUCCUACGGGAGGCAGCAGUGGGGAAUAUUGGACAAUGGGCGAAAGCCUGAUCCAGCAACGCCGCGUGAGGGAUGACGGCCUUCGGGUUGUAAACCUCUUUCAGCACAGACGAAGCGAAAGUGACGGUAUGUGCAGAAGAAGCACCGGCCAACUACGUGCCAGCAGCCGCGGUAAUACGUAGGGUGCGAGCGUUGUCCGGAAUUAUUGGGCGUAAAGGGCUCGUAGGCGGUUUGUUGCGUCAGGAGUGAAAACUCGGGGCUUAACCCCGAGCCUGCUUCUGAUACGGGCAGACUUGAGGUAUGCAGGGGAGAACGGAAUUCCUGGUGUAGCGGUGAAAUGCGCAGAUAUCAGGAGGAACACCGGUGGCGAAGGCGGUUCUCUGGGCAUUACCUGGAC
rnacentral:rRNA from 1 species